GCCUCCCGCGCGGAACGGACACGGCAGCGAGGCGCGCCCGCGGCUGCGGCGCCCGCGCACACCGACCUGGCGGCGCGCCCCGCACCGGAAGUGCCCCCUCACAGCCCCGGAGCGCGCCCCGCACCGGAAGUGCCCCCUCACAGCCCCGGAGCGCGCCCCGCACCGGAAGUGCCCCCUCACAGACCCGGAGCGCGCCCGCGCCUUCCCUCACCGCGCGGCUCGCGAAGACGCCGCGUCCCGCCCACGGCCCAGGCCCCGCACCAGGGUGGCCUGAACCCUAAAGGAGCUGGAGGCCCGCGGGACGCAGAGGAGCGGGCGGAACCAGCCAAGGCCCUUCUGUUAAGGUUCUCCCCACUACGCGAGGCCGGCGGCCCGCCCCGGCAGCAGCAGGACGCCCCGGGGGCAGCGUCUGCACACAGCGACGCCCGCCCGUGCGGGCCUGGCCCUGCCUCCCGGCUGCGCGGCCUCCGCGCUGUGCCUGAGGCAAAGGGCCGCUCCCGGCGCUCCGCAGGCAGCCCGGGGCCUGAGGGACCCCGCCUCCCCAGGGACGCGCAGCUGCGGCAGGAGGCCUCCUGCGUGGGCCCUUCGUCAGGGGCGGCCCUUGGGCUCCGGGCUUCCAACGCGUGGCCGUGCUGCCCGCACCCGGGCGCCUUCCCGUUCGCGCCCUCGUGGUUCCUUGCCGACUCCCGGAUGGCCCGAGGGCCGCGGAGGGGCAGGCACCCGUUCCCGGGCUGCUUGGCGUCGGUGCCCUCCGUCGGCAGGCCGCACGGCCUCGCACGGCCUCGGGGACGCCCGCGGUCAGGCCCAGGCGCGGGGCGAGGACGCGAGCCACUACGCACGGGCGGCUGCCGGCCUGCCUCGGCCCGGACGGCGGGCGGCACGUGCGGGUGUGCGGGCGGCUUCCGGCCUGCAUGCCGGCGUCCCGUGCGGCGUGGGCGGGCCGCGUGCCCCGGGCGGCGGCCGGUCGGUGGUCCCCAGGGCGGCCGCGGCCCGCGCAGUAGCCGUGCGAGGGCAGGUGGGAGCAGCGUGGGGCCCUGCGCUGCGCUGACCUCCGGGCCCCACCGCCUGGUCUCGAGCGCGGAGGGUUCUCCGCCCGCAGCGUCGGGGAGCGCGCGGACCCCGAGGCCCCAGGAAAGGCCCGGGCUGCGGAGGCCUUGGCGAGCGAGGCUCUCGCAGACCCGCGUGGCGCCCGCGUCGUCCCCGCUGCCGAGUGUCCGUUCGUGGCGCCGUGCGGGGCUGACGACGAGGCGGGCUGCCCCCCUGCCGCCCCGGCGGCCUCCUCCUCAUCAGGAGCUAAGGGGGUUCCCCGCGAGCGGACUGCGUGGGCUGCGGCUGUGGGUCGGGGAGGCUGUGGGUCCGAGCUGA
rnacentral:lncRNA from 12 species